rnacentral:tRNA from 1 species
GAAGGUAUAGCUCAAUGGCAGAGCACAUGCCUAGCAUGCACAAGGUCCUGGGUUCAAUCCCCAGUACCUUCA